AGGCCCAUGGUUGACUCCCCAGACACUGCUGGCACGCCUGUUGGUGGUGGCAGGGAGCCCUGUUGCAGGCAGCAAUCUCCAAGCCGCUGCCUUACUGCUCCUGCAAAAGCUCCACAGCAGGAUCCACAGAGCUGUGGGGGCCAUGUGGGAUGCGGAGAUCCCCCUGCUGCUGCAGUGUGUCCAAGGAAAAGAAGAGAGCUUCCCAGACUCUGCAGCAUGGGAA